rnacentral:rRNA from 1 species
AUUGAACGCUGGCGGCAGGCUUAACACAUGCAAGUCGAGCGGAGAGAGGUAGCUUGCUACUGAUCUUAGCGGCGGACGGGUGAGUAAUGCUUAGGAAUCUGCCUAUUAGUGGGGGACAACAUUUCGAAAGGAAUGCUAAUACCGCAUACGUCCUACGGGAGAAAGCAGGGGAUCUUCGGACCUUGCGCUAAUAGAUGAGCCUAAGUCGGAUUAGCUAGUUGGUGGGGUAAAGGCCUACCAAGGCGACGAUCUGUAGCGGGUCUGAGAGGAUGAUCCGCCACACUGGGACUGAGACACGGCCCAGACUCCUACGGGAGGCAGCAGUGGGGAAUAUUGGACAAUGGGCGCAAGCCUGAUCCAGCCAUGCCGCGUGGGAAGAAGGCCUUAUGGUUGUAAGGCACUUUAAGCGAGGAGGAGGCUACUUUAGUUAAUACCUAGAGAUAGUGGACGUUACUCGCAGAAUAAGCACCGGCUAACUCUGUGCCAGCCGCCGCCGUAAAAC